GACGUAGGGCGCGAGCGUUGUCCGGAUUUAUUGGGCGUAAAGAGCUCGUAGGCGGCUCGUCGCGUUGUUCGUGAAAACUCACAGCUCAACUGCGGGCGUGCGGGCGAUACGGGCAGACUGGAGUACUGCAGGGGAGACUGGAAUUCCUGGUGUAGCGGUGGAAUGCGCAGAUAUCAGGAAGAACACCCGUGGCGAAGGCGGCUCUCUGGGACGGUACUGACGCUGAGACGCGAAAGCGUGGGGAGCGAACAGG
rnacentral:rRNA from 1 species